rnacentral:sRNA from 1 species
AGCUGGUUCUUGGGUCAAUGGACCAUGAGAACUGACUAAUCCCAGGACGAGGGGAAGCCAUGUGAAAACCUCUAACACUCACACAUUUGUGGAGUAGUUUUUAGGGUAGAUCAAACUUUGGAUAGCUCAUUACAACUUUUUUUAGUCUGAUCACUACCACUAGACCAAGCUUGUGUGGGCAAAAAGACUUCGUUCUCAAGGGCGGACCUAGUAAAGAAGAAGGGGGUCACUUGACCCAAGUUGAAUAGUCAAAUUUUAUUUUUUGCAUAGAAUUUUGUUUAGAAUUAGCAGAACAAUUGGUAAAUUCCAAGGUGUUGACACCCCCAAAACAUGAGUUCAAAUC